rnacentral:rRNA from 1 species
UCUGACGUCAGUGAAUCAUCGAAUCUUUGAACGCAACUUGCGCUCUCAUUUGCGUGGGAGCAUGCCUCUUUCAGUAUCUGUUUCACUCUCACUCGCAGUGCGCUGCGGAGAAUGAGGCCUUGUGUGUUGCUGCUCGCGCGGCAGCACACAGCCUUGAAGUCCCCAGUGGAGCUCGUUCUGGACCUCAACCGUCCAGCCCUCACUGAGAAAGCGACGUGGGUAAUUUACCUCGUGCGUCCGCUUUCGUUUGCAGGUGCAGUGGUCUCGCGAGAGUGAUGAGCGUACGUGCGUGCCUGCCGUCCAGCAGUCGCACACACAAACAACAAACACAAACAUAGAUCUGAAAUGAGGCAAGAGGACCCGCCGAAUUUAAGCAUAUCAAUAAGCGGAGG